rnacentral:rRNA from 1 species
UACGAAGGGGGCUAGCGUUGCUCGGAAUGACUGGGCGUAAAGUGUGCGCAGGCGGCAGAGCAAGUCGAGUGUGAAAGCCCCGGGCUUAACUUGGGAAUUGCGCUCGAAACUACUUUGCUGGAGUGUGGCAGAGGAAGGUGGAAUUCCACGUGUAGCGGUGAAAUGCGUAGAGAUGUGGAGGAACACCAAUGGCGAAGGCAGCCUUCUGGGCCAACACUGACGCUCAUGCACGAAAGCGUGGGGAGCAAACAGG